UUGAGUUUGAUCAUGGCUCAGAACGAACGCUGGCGGCGUGCCUAACACCUGCAAGUCGAGGGAGAAAAGGGGCUUCGGCUCCUGAGUAACCCGGCGCACGGGUGAGUAACACGUAGGUAACGUACCCUAGAGUCCGGGAUAACCAGUCGAAAGAUUGGCUAAUACCGGAUACGACCACGAAAGCUCCGGCUUUUGUGGUGAAAGACGGCCUCUGUUUACAAGCUGUCACUCCUGGAUCGGCCUGCGCACCAUUAGCUAGUUGGUGAGGUAAUGGCUCACCAAGGCUGAGAUGGUUAGCUGGUCUGAGAGGAUGGCCAGCCACACUGGGACUGAGACACGGCCCAGACUCCUACGGGAGGCAGCAGUGGGGAAUAUUGCGCAAUGGGCGAAUUUUUUUUGCAGCGACGCCGCGUGGGUGAUGAAGGCCUUCGGGUCGUAAAGCCCUGUCGGGAGGGAAGAAACAGUCCGGACCAAAUACGUCCGGACAUUGACGGUACCUCCUAAGGAAGCACCGGCUAACUCCGUGCCAGCAGCCGCGGUCA
rnacentral:rRNA from 1 species